ACAACAAACAAGUUUGACCUCAAAUCAGGUAGGAUUACCCGCUGAACUUAAGCAUAUCAAUAAGCGGAGGAAAAGAAACCAACAGGGAUUGUCUUAGUAACGGCGAGUGAAGCGACAAAAGCUCAAAUUUGAAAUCUGGCACCUUCGGUGUCCGAGUUGUAAUUUGAAGAAGGUAACUUUGGAGUUGGCUCUUGUCUAUGUUCCUUGGAACAGGACGUCACAGAGGGUGAGAAUCCCGUGCGAUGAGAUGUCCAACUCUAUGUAAAGUGCUUUCGAAGAGUCGAGUUGUUUGGGAAUGCAGCUCUAAGUGGGUGGUAAAUUCCAUCUAAAGCUAAAUAUUGGCGAGAGACCGAUAGCGAACAAGUACAGUGAUGGAAAGAUGAAAAGAACUUUGAAAAGAGAGUGAAAAAGUACGUGAAAUUGUUGAAAGGGAAGGGUUUGAGAUCAGACUUGGUAUUUUGUAUGUCUUGCUUUCGGGUGGGGCCUCUGCAGUUUACUGGGCCAGCAUCGGUUUGGACGGUAGGAUAAUGACAUUGGAAUGUGGCACUACUUCGGUGGUG
rnacentral:rRNA from 1 species